UCCUCUUAUAAUGGUUUCCAAUCGUUUCUAACAAACCCUUUAUUCUGCUGCUACUCUCUUUUCCAUGGGAAAAAAGUUAUUACUCUUUCCUUUCUUUGCAAUUUGGACAACCCUAGCCAAUGUCAAAAUUGCAUCACAUGUGGUGAUCUGAAUUGAAAUCCAAUAGUUGCCAUUCAAGUUGGUAACUUAAGCGACAAAAAAGGCUGUAGAUGUUGUCACAACAAUUUCAAGCUUUUCGUCACUUGGCCUCACUUUUUUGGUGCUUCAAUCACAAAGGAGAAGAGAAGUAUUUUUUUUCCAGUAAAAGAUCAACCACUAUUAUCAUUACUUGACAAAUAGUGUUGAUUUGUGACAAAGUUUAACAUCGGAAGCACAAGGUAGACCGGUGGUAGUGAUGGUGGCUCUACCCCUACUUCUUCCAUUGAGGUUUUGAGAGAGUAUGAGUCGCUAGGGGUACUCCGGUGAAAUUCUUUACUCUUUGUCAUUUUCCAUUCCAUUUGGAUUUCACAGUGUUCGUCUUCAAAUUGAUAUUCGGUUUUGGCAAGGUAUGAGUUUAAGUAUAUGGAUUUGGGUGAAACUUUUAUAUCUUCUUCUUCUUCUUCCUCCUCAUCCUCCUUACCAUUUGGAUGUCACAAUAUUUUUUUGAGAGUGAUUUGUAAGAGACAGAGAUUGAAAAAAGGAAAACUAAGAUAAUUAUGUUACGUUGUAUGAUUGUUGAAAAGAUAGAAAGCACAAUUAAUACGAAUUAUCACUCUCUUCACCUUUCCUUCUUAAGGUAAUAA